UAUAGUCCUGACUCAUCCUAGUCACCUGCUCUAUACUGAGUCACCCCGGUCACCUGCUCUGAUCUGAAUCACCUUUAGUCACCUGCUUUGUAACCAUUUU